rnacentral:misc_RNA from 1 species
AACGGUCUAUACCUGCGGUACCUGCGGAAGGAUCAUUAAUGAGAAACUGCCCCUCGCGGGUGGAUCUCCCACCCUUUGUAAACUUACCUUUGUUGCUUUGGCAGGCCCGUCUCCGGACCGCCGGCUUCGGCUGGCCAGUGCCUGCCAGAGGAUUCUAAAACUCUGUCUGUCAGUGUUGUCUGAGUCUAUAUACAAUCGUUAAAACUUUCAGCAAUGGAUCUCUAGAUCGGAAGAGCACAC